GACGAACGCUGGCGGCGUGCUUAACACAUGCAAGUCGAGCGGUAAGGCCCUUUCGGGGGUACACGAGCGGCGAACGGGUGAGUAACACGUGGGUGACCUGCCCUCAGCUCUGGGAUAAGCCUGGGAAACCGGGUCUAAUACCGGAUAUGACUCCAUGACGCAUGUUGUGGGGUGGAAAGCCUUGUGCGGCUGAGGAUGGGCCCGCGGCCUAUCAGCUUGUUGGUGGGGNGAUGGCCUACCAAGGCGACGACGGGUAGCCGGCCUGAGAGGGCGACCGGCCACACUGGGACUGAGACACGGCCCAGACUCCUACGGGAAGGCAGCAGUGGGGGAAUCUUGCGCAAUGGGCGAAAGCCUGGCGCAGCGACGCCGCGUGAGGGAUGACGGCCU
rnacentral:rRNA from 1 species